UACGUAGGGGGCAAGCGUUGUCCGGAAUCAUUGGGCGUAAAGCGCGUGUAGGCGGUUCGGUAAGUCUGCUGUGAAAGUCCAGGGCUCAACCCUGGGAUGCCGGUGGAUACUGUCGGGCUAGAGUACGGAAGAGGCGAGUGGAAUUCCCGGUGUAGCGGUGAAAUGCGCAGAUAUCGGGAGGAACACCAAUUGCGAAGGCAGCUCGCUGGGACGUUACUGACGCUGAGGCGCGAAAGCGUGGGGAGCAAACGGG
rnacentral:rRNA from 1 species